rnacentral:misc_RNA from 1 species
CGAAAUGCGAUAAGUAAUGUGAAUUGCAGAAUUCAGUGAAUCAUCGAAUCUUUGAACGCACCUUGCGCUCCUUGGUAUUCCUUGGAGCAUGCCUGUUUGAGUAUCAUGAAAUCUUCAAAGUAAAUCUUUUGUUAACUCAAUUGGUUUCUACUUUGGUAUUGGAGGUCUUUGCAGCUUCACACCUGCUCCUCUUUGUUCAUUAGCUGGAUCUCAGUGUUAUGCUUGGUUCCACUCGGCGUGAUAAGUUAUCUAUCGCUGAGGACACUGUAAAAGGUGGCCAAGGUAAAUGCAUAUGAACCGCUUCUAAUAGUCCAUUGACUUGGACAAUACUUUUAUGAUCUGAUCUCAAAUCAGGUAGGACUACCCGCUGAACUUAAGC